rnacentral:sRNA from 1 species
GUUGAUCACAAUUUCCAGCAUCUCUCUAACAAAAGUAUGGUUCCUCCUCAUACCUCUUCUCUUCUUCUCCCCCUUGGCUUAGACUUAGAGCGUCUUCGUCCUCUUUACUCUUCUUUUGUUCAACCACCAUCUCUAUCUUUUGUCCUCUCCUCUUCAUCUUCAUUUCUUCCAACCUUCUUUUUGGUCUGAAAACUCGCCGGACGCCACCGUGAGUUGAGUUUUCCGGCAAAGUAGAAAGGUAAACCUUUUUUACAGAACUUAUUUGUUUUGUUUUCCUUACAACAUACAAAUUAAAAUCAUAAAUGUUCACCGUCCCUUCGCUACUUGUCUAAUAAUAAUCUGGAUUAUCAGAUUUGC